AUCUACGGCCAUGCCACCCUGAAAAAGUCCAAUCCUGUCUGAUCUCGGAAGCUAAGCAGGGUCGGGCCUGGUUAGUACUUGGAUGGGAGACCACCUAGAAAGACCAGGUGAUGUAGACG
rnacentral:rRNA from 1 species